UCGUCCAUCUGUUAGCUUUAUCAUGAAUCUGACUUCCCCUCUGGCCAUAAGAUGGUAGGUAGCAGCAAGAGGUACAGAAUAUCAUUCCGUAUUCAUAUCUCUUGAAAGAAGAAGCUGACUUCUGGCCUCCUGUCUUAAGGACAGGGAAGAACUUUCUCUGAAGCCUCCAGCAACUCUCUCCCAAACCAAAACUAGGUCAUAUGCCCAUUCCCAAAGCAUUCACUGACAAAUGGAUUUAAUUCUUUUGAUGGCUGAGAUGAAAUGGUUUUCAUUUCUGAAAGUGGAAAUGGAGUAAUUUCCCCCUAAAUCUUAUGAACAAAACUGGAAUGUCAUUGUGAAGAAAAGAAGAAUGGAUGCUAGACCAUUCACUGCAUACUGGCAGACUGAUUGAAGGUGGCUCAGUGCUCUCCAACUUAAAGGAAAGAAAUGGAUGAGAGGAGCUGGCUUAAUACCAUCACUAAUGUACAACCUAUUUGAAGCUUCUUGAAGAAAGUAUCAGUCCAGAAGAUCUAUGUUGUUAA